rnacentral:lncRNA from 1 species
CACAGACCCAGCACCAUUUAUUGAGAAGACAAUCUCUUUCCCCUGCACUUCAGUCAUUCCAUUAAAAAAAACUGACUAUCAUUUUGAAUGAUAGCUAAGAACUACUCCACCUGGCCCAGAUUCUUUGGCGUGUGUCUCUGCUCAGCUCCGAUGAAUGCAGGAAUCCCUAAUCAGAUGACUGCAAUCACAAGACUCCCCUCCAGCAGGCUGGAAUGAGGCUGUGAGGCUCCAGCAGCCGUUUUGUGCCACGAGGCAGUAGAAACCUGGGUUCCUGAUGACUGUGGAGCUGCCGAACUAAUCUGGACCUCCAGAUUCCAUACCUGCAAGACACAUGAACAUCUGUCUUAUGCCGUGGAAACAGAAAUCUAGUGGAGGAUUCUGAUCCCUAGGGAAUGUAGGGCCACUGGACCCAAUUGCCCUAUAAUCUUGUGUGGUAUUUCCCUGCCCCUGCUCAACUUCAUUGGAUGGUAUUGCCUUGGUCUUUGUUUCUUGAGGAGUCACAGAAAGAAAGACACAGACCAGGACUGGGAGGUAGGGAAGGAGGGAGCAGCUGGGGGGCAGGUGUGUAGUGGUGCAUCAUAGCAGCAAAGGGAGGUAAAGGUUCUAGGAAGGGGUGGUCAAUUGUGUCUAAUGAGAUCCAGCCAGGUGGAGGAGGAAGAGGGCUGGGAAGAGCCCAUUAAAUUUAAUGACCUCAGUGACAGUUUUAUCUGAGUGAUGGGGCAGAUGCCAGCUUGCAGAAGGUUUGGGAACAAGUCAGUGAUUAUGUUGGUUAAGGGAAGGAGAGAGGAAAAAAAGAGAGAUAGCUUUAAGUGGAAGCCAGGCCAAAGGAAAGCAUUUUGAGAAGGAAAUCAGUGGUUAGGGAGAGGUUAAAAAUAAGAAAGGGAAUCAUGACCUACAUAAUGCAAGGCAUCUGAAUGUGAUGAUUUCCUCCUUUAGGCUUGGUUCUGGUGUGCAUUUCCAGGGCUAAGCUGACUGGCCAGGAAGCAGGGAGCAAAGGGGGUUGGACACAGCCAGCAAAUCACGCAGCAUUAACUGGGCUGCGAGGCCGGAUCCUGAGUGGGCAAGCAGGUGGCAGCUGAAGUAUUGUGAAUCGAGAGCCUGAAAUUCUUCAGGAUCUUCUAAGAUUAUCCAUUUGAUUGGGUCAUGGAAUUAAUGUGGAUAAGCCUAGUUGAUCAACCUGAGUAGAGGGUGCUGUCACCUGCACAACACCUACCACAACUUCCUAGAACCUAGUGGCCGAGCUUGUUAAGUGUCCCCAAAUGCCCAUUCUCUCCUUCCUUUUAGUCAAGGAGCCAUGAAUUUUAGGGAAGAACAUGAUCAUUUAGCUCAGGACCACAGUUCCCAGACUCCCUGCAGCUGGAUGUGGAUGUCUACUCAGUUCUUGCUAAAACGAUGUGUGCAAUUUCCAGAGCACAUCCUUAUAUGGAAGUUAUUUGCAGUGAACAUUGUCUGUUUCCUCCUUUCAAUGAGGUGGAACUGGAAGUGCUGGAGAUGAGCUGCUGUGGCUGUAUGGACAAAGGCAAGAUCCUAUGGGAUGGCCAAGCAACCAGACAGAAGAACUCUUGAGACCUUGAGGAAAAGAACUGCCCGCAACUGCUCUUGACACUCUCUCCCUCUGGCCUGUUGUGUGGGAGAGAAAUAAACUUCUAUUUUAU